CUAUUUCUGACACACUAGGCCAGCUGUGUUCCUAAUAAACAAUACCCCUCCUAAUUCUGACACGCUAGGCCAGCUGUGUCCCUAAUAAACAAUGCCCCUCCUAAUUCUGACAUGCUGGGUUAGCUGUGGCCCUAAUAAACAAUGUCCCUCCUAAUUCUGACAUGCUGGGUUAGCUGUGUCCCUAUAGCUAAUAAACAGUGCCCCGCCUAUUUCUGACACACUAGGCCAGCUGUGUCCCUAAUAAACAAUGUCCCUCCUAAUUCUGACAUGCUGGGUUAGCUGUGUCCCUAAUAAACAGUGCCCCGCCUAUUUCUGACACACUAGGCCAGCUGUGUCCCUAAUAAACAAUACCCCUCCUAAUUCUGACACGCUAGGCCAGCUGUGUCCCUAAUAAACAAUACCCCGCCUAAUUCUGACAUGCUAGGCCAGCUGUGUCCCUAAUAAACAUUGUCCCUCCUAAUUCUGACAUGCUGGGUUAGCUGUGUCCCUAAUAAACAGUGCCUCGCCUAAUACUGACAUGCUUGGUUAGCUGUGUCCCUAAUAAACAUUAUGGAAUGUGUAUUAUGAUUUAUCACAUUAAAGAAGUAGUUUGAAUCCUAGAGAUAAUGGAAGAGACCUUUAGAACAGGUAUUGUUUUCCUGGAUAAAUAAAAAGGAAACAUAAUUUUUGAAAAGUAGUUUUGUUCUAUGGAUAAUGGAAGAAUUAUUCUUAAAAGGUCAAUGGUUCCUCUGCAAUCAUUUUUCUUGAUGAUAAGCCUCAACAUGAACAGUGAUCCACUGUUUAAGAUUCGUUUAAGAGUUUUAUUAAACACAGUUACAGUUAAAUGUUAUUAUUAUUAUUAUUUAAUGGACUUUUGUUGUAUACUGUAUACAGGGAAAUUUCGCUGCAGUUUAAUUUUCACCUUUUUCGCCCUCGGUAACGAGAAUGAAUUUAUCAUCACAGCUAACAUUUGUAAACAAUAUAGUAUACUUAGUAAUUUAAUGUGAAGGGUGAUUUGAUAUUGGGCGAACAUUUUAACGAGCAAACAAAAAUUCUGUAUACAGUAUUAAAUUUAUAUUGUAAUUAUUAUAUGUUGUUACUUCUCUUGUUCUAAUGGUCUGCUUAAAAUUCUUUGAAAUGAAAUGUUGCCGACAUUAUUGAAUCCUGAGUUAUGUAUCUAUUCUAGCUUGUCAGAUGUAGCGAAAUGAAUUUUUGUCUGACUUAUUUUAUAAUUACCAGGCUGUGUGAUCAUUGAUCAUCAAGGUAAUUCAGAAUUUAAAGUUUGCUGUUCCUUUAUACAUAUGAAUUCUAUGUUUCCCACAUGAUCUUGUUGUAUUGAUAUGAUUUUUCCUGAUGUGAUAGAAUUACUACCAAUCAAAGAAAUUGUGUAGAUGAUUGUUGAUAAAUGAACCUUCAACCCAUUUCUGUUAUAAGGAUUCUAAAAUGGUGUGAUCCUUAUUGGGCGAUAAGUAUAGUUCUGUAAAUAGAGAUAAUAAUAGUAUGGGGUCUGUGAAUUAAUUAAGUUAGCAUGAGUAACAAUACAAAUUAAUAUUGAAGUUUUUACCUUGUGUCCUGGUAAAGGGCUUUAAGUAGUGAGGGACUGUAAAGAGGGUUUGGAUUAGCCCCUGUUAUAUGUUAAUUGAAGAUACACAAUGUACAUGUACUAAAUUAUAAAUAGCCUAAGGGGAUAAUGAGGUCAAUCCCUCAACAGAAGAUCAGGUAUCGAGGUCCCUCCCAACAGAUGGAGACAUGGCGUUAGAGGUUAAUAAUUUGUGACCCUAAAGUAUUAAGACCGAUGGAAUUAAUAAUCGCUAAGCUUUGAAUAAUUAAAAAGAAAAAGGUGAACUGCAAUACAAGUACGUCCGUUAUAUAAAUUAGCAGUGAGCGAUUUUGUUGUUGAUGGGUUGUUCGAAAGAUACAUGUAUAUGUGACGCAGAACUGGCCCGAGUUGUUCAUUGGCAACCAGGUGGCCAGUUGAUAGAGUGUCUGUAUAGGGUUCAGAAGGUCCUUCAGACAGCUUCAAAUCCUGGUCUGACCAUGCAUUUCUCUUAGGUGUCAACCUCUGAAACUUCCAAUAAGGGAGAUCUCCUUCAUUCCACAUUUCCAAUGAGAAAGAAAGUGCAUGAAACAGGACUGAAACUGCUUUGUUCAAUUUAUCUGUCCCUUUUUAUGUAUCAAAAUAACUCCAAAAAACAUACAUUUGAUUCCGACUCGCCAGUGUUACGAUCAUUAUACACACACCCUGCAGUAACUAAGAGAUCAUUUAUUGACAGGAUGAAACAUUUUGAGUUUGUGUGAGUUUGGACUAGAAUGAGGGAAUUUUGAGAGGGAUUGGUAAAUUUUGGUGAAACUGGAGGAGUCUCCCUCCUAGUGAGGGAGGGUUGAUGGCUAUGAUUUCUCUCCCUUGUUACAGUCACUAGGUGUGAUGACUAUGAUUUCUCUCCCUUGUUACAGUCACUAGGUGUGAUGGCUAUGAUUUCUCUCCCUUAAUUGUUACAGUCACUAGGUGUGAUGGCUAUGAUUUCUCUCCCUUGUUACAGUCACUAGGUGUGAUGGCUAUGAUUUCUCUCCCUUGUUACAGUCACUAGGUGUGAUGGCUAUGAUUUCUCUCCCUUGUUACAGUCACUAGGUGUGAUGGCUAUGAUUCCUCUCCCUUGUUACAGUCACUUGGUGUGAUGGCUAUGAUUUCUCUCCUUUGUUACAGUCACUAGGUGUGAUGGCUAUGAUUUCUCUCCCUUGUUACAGUCACUAAGUGUGAGUGACCAACACUUGUUACAAGUAGUGGGUGAAUGCUCAGCAAGGGGAUACCCAAAUCUGGGUGGUUAAUAGUGCAUUGCCUUUGGUGAGAAAUUCUUAUUAGAUAAUGCAGUAGUGGAACUAGACGGGGUCGAUCAUCAGCAACCAGGCAGCUCAAUUGGUAGUCAGCCUCUGACUAGAGUUCGGAAGGUCCUGGUUUAAACCCUGGUUGGACCCAACAUUGCUCUCUUCUGUUACAUAUAAAUCUAACAUGCUUCAUAAUGAUAAGUACAAAGACACCUUGAAGGCACUGAUUCUUGAUUUGAUACUAAGAUAGACCAUGUUUAUUGUUGAUAAUUAUAUAUAUAACUGUCAAAUUAUUGAAUUGGGAAUGUGUUGCACAGCAGAGUAAUACUAACAUUAAAAACAACAAAGGAGGAGUUAGGGUAUUGAGAUCUUUAAACAUAUGCCAUGGUAAUAUGUCUUAAUUGUCUUCUAGAAAGUGGACAUCUCUUACGUUAUGGUGGCAGCAAUGCUAUGUUGCUAGGCAACAACAACUAUUGAUAUGUUGCUUGGUAACAACUGCCGCCAAGGAGAUAUUUUAUAAGACUAUCAUGCAUUGUUGUAUUUGCAAAUUUGUCUCCCCUAAAUCCUCAAUGAGCAAUUAUUUGAGUCAUCAUAAUUGCUAAUGAUGGUACUCAUAGGAUACAUUCUAUGUUUUUCCCUUAAUGUUACACCCGGUUUGCCAAACCGAAGAUAGCACUGUGCCUGUGCAAUAUUUAUAUGCUAUAGACCAGUAGCUUGAUCUUUUACAGAGCAUAUUGUAACUUGUAAUUGUGCUAUUAGGUAGAAAUUUGUUUUUAAUAACAUGCUAAAACAAACUUUAUUACUUUAUUAAUUUCCUAUGUAUACAGUAAUGGCAUCAUCUAGCGUCACAGUUAUUCCUUAAUCCCAUUUAAUCCUGGAGCCAUCCAUGUGCAUCCUGGUGUUGGCCAUUUUGCCUGAUUAGUCUAAACAUGGUGUUUAAAGUUUGAGAGGGAAUUACUGGUUAUAAUAAGCACAUAAGUUAUAAUGUAGGUUGCUCACAUGAGCUGGGAUUUUCUAACAUGUGCUUGAAUUAGAAAAACAUUUCUCGCAUGAAGAAAUCAUUGGACAUGUGCAUUGGAGGUGAGCCAUUUCUUUGCUAACAUAAACUAACUUGAAGCUCAUGGGCAAAACUUCACUUGCAUACAUUUCUAACUUGUUUCUGACGUAUCAGCUGCUUCGAUGAUGAACUAAUGUUAAAGUUUUCUGUACGGUAGCUCACCUGGCACAAAGUGUCUUAGAGCUAAGGUUAAAGUUUUCUGUACGGACAGGUCACCUGGCACAAAGUGUCUUAGAGCUAAGGUUAAAGUUUUCUGUACGGGUAGCUCACCUGGCACAAAGUGUCUUAGAGCUAAGGCUCGAGUUUUCUGUACGGGUAGCUCACCUGGCACAAAGUGUCUUAGUGCUAAAGCUAGAGUUUUCUGUACAGGUAGCUCACUUGGCACAAAGUGUCUUAGAGCUAAGGCUAAAGUUUUCUAUACGGUUAGCUCACCUGGCACAAAGUGUCUUAUAGCUAACGUUAAAGUUUAAUUAGUUUUUAAGAACUAUUAAUACAAGCUUACAACAUGUUUUUUUAAAUAUGUUUAGAAUCGUAAUGAAAAAAACCUUUGAUCAAUUCAUGAACGUGUAUUUCCAUCUUUCUCUUAACUUUGUUUAUUUGAUAAAAUAUCAAUCAAUUGGUUGAUUUAAUCAUCAGUUGGAAAGAAAAAGUUUGGAUUUUACAGCAGGUAUCUUGAUAUGACUUGUUAAACUCUCGUUUUGACCCCUGUUUUGACCACCCUUUUAGAUUGUAUCUUGGUAAGCAUUCUUUGCAUAAUAUUUACAAACAAAUGUAAAGAUAGGUCGAUCAUUAAACCCAUAUCUAAAUGUUAAUAGAAAGUCAUGAAAUGAAAUUUUGAUAAUGUAUACAUAUUGUGAUAAUUUUAUUAGCAUUAAUUUGUGUUUGUGAAAAUAAUACAUUUCUAUUGUUUUAGUUUACUAAAUCCUGUAGUUUCUAGAAAAUUUAUAUGUAUAUAUAAAUAUAUAAACACGUAUAUAAAUUCAGAAAUUUGAUUUCAUCAGCAGAUUACACUAUGUCCACUUUGAAUAUAUUUGUAUGGCUUACCUGGCAGAAAGUGCCUGCAAACUAAAGGUAUGGUGCAAUUGUCCCUCGUCCAUCCUUAAACAGCUAAUUCUUGAUAUCAUUGUUUUUCAAAAAGUAGGGGAUAGAUCUUGCUUAAAUUUCAUAUGAAUAUUCCCCUUUGUCCCUAAUUGUGCAUAUUGAUUUGAAUAACAAGAUGGCCACCGAACAGCCAUCUUGGUUUUUACAGUUAAAGUUUGUUAUUACAUGGAAGUACUGGGGGAUGUUUGUUCUAUUUAUAGACACCCCUUCACUUGGAUCUUACUUAUGUUCAUUUUCAGCUUUAUUGGAAAAAAUUCACCAGGAGGCAAACACAUCUGACAUCUUUAAUUCGACUGUUGAAGUUUGCCAUUACUAACUGUUCAGAAAGUAAAAUCACUGUUCUUUCUAAAGUUUCAGCCGUAAUACUUCCUGUUCCCUAUUUCGGCACAUAUUCAAUUUGAGCUUAAGCUGUUCUGCUUGAUCAGAAGAAAUAUGCGACUACCAGAAAUCAGAAUUUUCUUUCUGUCUAUUUUUACACUUUAUUACUUUAUAUACUAGUAAGUAGGCCAAAUAACAACCUUAGUAUAGAACUUUGACCAAAAUUUACAAAUUUGCAUUAUCUCUCCACAUGACUCCAUAUCAGCUAAGAGAAAAGAACAGCCCAACUUGGCUAGAACCAAUGAAGAUCCUACAACGUCGGGUAGCAAGAUCCCUCUUGGAUUUCAUUUCUUUGAACAUCUUCUUCAAUACCGAAAAAUCUGUUGUCCAUAAUAUUUAGCCAGUAGGUAAAUAGGAUGACGAACUAUAAAGUUUCUUCUAUAACUGACCUGGACCAACAUUCAAGGUCACUGGUGAAAUAUUAACAAAAUCAAGCAAAAUUGUCUAAAGAACUAUUGAAGGUCGCGAUCUAUAGCUAUGAUACUAGGAUAGGUCAUGUAGACCAGCAGUGUGGAACUUCUUCUAAUACACAUACCUUGUGUCAAGGUCAAAGGUCAACUUUGUGAACUGGCCAGGUUCAAAGAUUAACAUGGGUUUAUAUAAUGGGUAAAACGAUUUAAAGAGUAAACUUCUGAAGUUCAAUAAGCCACAGGGUCAUUAUAUUUAGCCAGUAGGAAUCUGGUAUGAUGUGCUUUAAAUUUUGUCAUAUAAAUGACCUUGACUAACUUUUAAGGUCCCAGGAGUCAAAUAUGUUAAAAAAAGUCAACAAGGUCCAGAGCAAUGCUGAGUAGACAUGUAGACCAGCUGUGAAAAUCUAUUUCUAAUGUACAGUGGUAAUAUUUAAGAGCUAGCUCAGAGAUCAUAUGUUAACAUAAGUUAUUUAGUGGGUAAAAAACUUGAAGAAAACUCCUUGUAAGGUUCACACCAUUGUGGGUCAUGACAUUCAGCAAGAAGGUGCCAAUGCAAGGCCUUGGGUCAAAACUUGAGAAGUUGUGGGAACUGUUGAAAACCCAAUUAUAACUUGGGAAGUUGAAGGAACUGUUGAAAACCCCAUUAUAACUUGGGAAGUUGUGGGAACUGUUGAAAACCCCAUUAUAACUUGGGAAGUUGUGGGAACUGUUGACAACCCCAUUAUAACUUGGGAAGUUGUGGGAACUGUUGAAAACCCAAUUAUAACUUGGGAAGUUGUGGGAACUGUUGAAAACCCCAUUAUAACUUGGGAAGUUGUGGGAACUGUUGAAACCCCCAUUAUAACUUGGGAAGUUGUGGGAACUGUUGACAACCCCCAUUAUAACUUGGGAAGUUGUGGGAACUGUUGAAAACCCCAUUAUAACUUGGGAAGUUGUGGGAACUGUUGACAACCCCAUGAUAACUUGGGAAGUUGUGGGAACUGUUGAAAACCCCAUUAUAACUUGGAAAGGUAAAAAGAUCCCUAUCAUAUUAAUAUUCAUAUACUGCUGGGCGUAAAGGAAAGAACACAAACUUGUUACCAGGAUCUAGCCCCUCCCCUAGGACACAAAAUUAACAUGAAAUCGAUGAAAUGUCAGUCCCAAUAACCAUACACAUACAAUGUAUGUAAACUGAUCUGAACAAGAUUUGCUAUGAAGCAUCUUUAGGACCAGAAGGACAGACCUAAAAUGAACGUAUAUUUAUAAUACUUAUUUUAAAGGGAUUAUUUUGCAAUGAAUGUCCAGAUGAGUGAUACAAGCCCUUUGGACCUUUUACUGCAUGAAUGAGUAUACUUAAGCUAACAUGCUUUACUGUAUCCCUGUAAACACCAUAUAUAUUGUUAGUGAUGUUUGUGAUAAUAUCAGAUAAAAACCUGCAACAUAUACUUGAAAAAUUUGUGCUCCAGUAUAUCUCCGGUGAUCCAAAUGGGCUAGGUGUGACAGGCCCGUUAGGUCUUGUUAUUUUUGUUUUUGAGGGUUUGAGUUACUUUAGGAAUGUUGUCAUGUUCUCUUGUGUUGUUUGUAUAAAGCUUUCAAAAAAUAAAGGAAUACAAGAGGUAGAA
rnacentral:lncRNA from 1 species